GAUAGGGACGAAGGGCGAAGGGUUAAUAGCCCCUAGCCUGACGGUACCUUUCGAGGAAGCCCCGGCUAACUACGUGCCAGCAGCCGCGGUAAUACGUAGGGGGCGAGCGUUGUCCGGAAUUAUUGGGCGUAAAGAGCGUGUAGGCGGUUCGGUAAGUCUGCCGUGAAAACCUGAGGCUCAACCUCGGGCGUGCGGUGGAUACUGCCGGGCUAGAGGACGGUAGAGGCGAGUGGAAUUCCCGGUGUAGCGGUGAAAUGCGCAGAUAUCGGGAGGAACACCAGUAGCGAAGGCGGCUCGCUGGGCCGUUCCUGACGCUGAGACGCGAAAGCUAGGGGAGCGAACAGGAUUAGAUACCCUGGUAGUCCUAGCCGUAAACGAUGGACACUAGGUGUGGGGGGAGUCGAAUCCCUCUGUGCCGCAGUUAACGCGUUAAGUGUCCCGCCUGGGGAGUACGGCCGCAAGGCUAAAACUCAAAAGAAUUGACGGGGGCCCGCACAAGCAGCGGAGCAUGUUCUUUAAUUCGAUGCAACGCGAAGAACCUUACCUGGACUUGACAUGGUGCUGCAAGCGCACGGAAACGUGUGACCUUCGAGGGUGCACCACAGAUGCUGCAUGGCUGU
rnacentral:rRNA from 1 species